UGAAGGUGGAGGGAGGGAGCAACAAGAGAAGAGGCCGGAAUGAUAGGAUGGAGACCUUUGGUCAGGACUCGGGGCUCAGCCUUUCUCUGUUGGGGGUGGGCAGUGUGGUCAGAUUCGAGUUUUAGGGAAGUCUGGUUGGAGACCUGGAGGAGAAUGGAUUUGCUGGGGAGGAGACCAGGGGCGUGGAUACCGGCGAGGUUGUGGGUAACCGACAGCAACUCUGGCUGAAACCUGAGGCAACCAAAGAGACCGCGGUGGCAGUAGUGAUGGGGAGUCACAGGGCUGAAGAACCAGACACGGAGCGGGGGAGAGUUGGGUGGUGGUGAGGAUCUUCGAGGCAGACUUGCUUUCCGGUUCCAUAGCAGUGGGUACUAUGGAAGCACCAAUAAUCUGUCAACUUUUCCGUCACCUUCCUCUUCCUCCUCCUCCUCUUCCUCAUUCCAUUAUGCUGCUACAUUCCAAGCGCUCAGAGGAAAUGUCCAAUUAGCAGAGCUUUGGGUAGGGCAUUGGGGGUGGGGAGAGCAGUUUUCUGGAAUGAUCCUGCUAGAAGAUGGUGGCAUAGAUGUUAGGUAUCUCCUUCACAGGAGAGAGGACUUACUAAGUAACUGACGUAGGGGUAGGAGAAAGGGAAGGGUAUAGUGUGGCCACUGGCUUUCCGGUUUAGGUAAUGGUCUGGAUAAGCAAAACAAAGGUCUGGCCAAGACUGAGUAACUCACUUGUUUUCCCACAGGCGGUGCUGUGGGCCGCUGUCCAUGACCAGGCUGCAGGAGAAGGUGACGACCUAUUUUUAAGAGUCUCAUUAAGGGGCCCUGCUGCUGUGAAUAAGGCCUGUUUAAUAAGAAGAACAAAAAUCGGCAAUGAGAUUUGAUGAUCUAACUGAGACAGUUGGAGGUGCCACUUCAGAUUGGGCGGUCAAGAAAGUUCUCAGUGAGGAGCCAUAUUUAAGCUGAAUCCCUGCAUCCAUACUUUGUUGAAGGAUUUUGGAACAUUGCUAAAACAAAUCACCCUGUCCAAAUUACUCUGCAAAAUUCCUUCCUCUCGAGCUCUUACCCAGAUGACCUUUCCCCCCCUUGCGACAAAACCAUUGGGAAAACUUGAACACAUAACUCAGCUAAGAGAAACUGAAUCUUGCCCUUUUGGUAUUCAGAGUGUUCACUGAAAGCACGCUUUAUACUUAUAAAGAAUCGAGCAAUUAAAUACUCCUUAAAAGUUCA